UAGGUACUCCCUCCGUCCCAAAAUUCUUGUCUUAGAUUUGUCUAGAUACGGAUGUACCUAAACAUAAAUAGGUACAUCCGUAUCUAGACAAAUCUAAGACAAGAAUUUUGGGACGGAGGGAGUAGUAC
rfam:Triticum aestivum genome assembly, contig: Triticum_aestivum_CS42_TGACv1_scaffold_148233_2BS